UCCCAAGCAGACUCCAUGCUGUCAGCGCAGAGCCCGGCGUGGGGGCCGAUCUCACAAGCUGUGACAUCAUGACCUGGACCGAAAUCAAGAGUGGCCUGAGCCACAUCAACAAUUUUUUAAAACUAUUGUGAGUAAAAUAUGCAUCACAUGAAAUUUGCCAUCUCAACCAUUUUGAAGUGUACGGGUCAGUGGCAUUAAAUGUAUUCACGUUGUUGUGAAACCAUCACUGCCAUCCAUCUCCAGAAAUGUUGUCCGGAGAAGACACCCAAUGUCUUGUGGGUGUCUUGUCUCGACACCCAUUAGCCGACAACUCCCCACUCCUCCUCCCCCAGUCCCUGGCACCCACCAUUCUGCUUUCUGUCGCUAGGACUCUGACUACUCUAGGUACCCCAUACAAGUGCAAUCAUACGGUAUCUGUCUUUUUGUGACUGCCUUAUUUCACUUAGCGUCAUGUUCUCAAGGUUCAUUCAUGUGGCAUGUGUCAGAACGUUUCCUGCCUUCGUAAGGCUGGACAAUACUCCAUUGUACGUGCAGACCAUGUUUUGCUUAUCAGUUCAUCCACCGAAGGAUACUGGGUUGCUUCCACGCGUUGGCUAUUGUGAAUCAUGCUGCCUUGAGCACGGGUGUGCAAAUAUCUCAUCGAGUCCCUGCUUUCCAUUCUUUGGGGUAUAUGCCCAGAAGUGGAUGAGCAAUUGUAGAUCACUUUUCCUUUGAGGUGAACAACGGUUGUUUGUGGGUGGCAUCUGAGAAUUAUAUCACCUAUUGUUUUUAAAGGUUAUUUAUUUUGAGAGAGAGAGAGAGAGAGAGAGAAAGCAAGUAGGGGAGGGGCAGAGAGAGAGAGAAUCCCAAGUAGGCUCCGCACUGUCAGUGGAGAGCCUGACUUGGGGCUUGAACUCAUGAAGAAUCGUGAGAUCAUGACCUGAGCUGAAGUCAGACACUUAACUGACUGACGCCCCUGAAUUUUGUCACCUAUUAAGGUGUGCGGCCAUUGUCUGUUCACAUGGGUCUCUCCCCGCUGGACUGUAGGUUCCUGGUGGCCAGGGAACCGUGUUCAACAUUCCCACACCCUGAUGCCAUGGAGGGCCCACAGUCUGCCUUCUGAAAGGCUUAGAAUGGAACAAAUCUGGUCAGGACUGUUGCUGAGGGUGUGGUGCUGAGCCCUCCUGCCCCGGCUCGCGUGUAUUUUUAUACAUGGGGUUUUUCUGAUUUUGUUUGAAAGGGAAAAACCGUCCCUAAAAUAAUAACAAUAAUAAUAAUAAUAAAACGAAUAUAAUCCAGUUCCCUGUGGGAAAACCGGAAACCCACUGAGGGCUGGUGAUUUGCCAGGCAUCCUGGCAUAGUUGGUGGGCCAGCCAGGAUCCGAACCCAUGGUCCCCAUUCUCUAAUUGGCCUUGCUGCCACACGGCCUUCUCCACGAAAGGCGAUUGUCCUCUGUCGUUUCCCCCCUUGCUCUCUGCCUGUCUCCUCCCUCAGAAGACAGGGCAGACCCCUCCCCAGAGCCAGCCCCGGCUCUGGGUCGGGGCCCUGCCAGGUCGGGCAGCCCAGCAUGGAGUCGGUGGGGCUGCCAUAAACAGGGGAGUGUGCUUCCUUUCCCACAAGCUUUAAUGGAGCGAGGGGGGACUCAGCCCCCGGGUCUCUCCAGGCAACCCCAACGCAGGGUAGCUCAGCUGAUCUCCAGAUGGCCCAGCAAGAGGAAAACUUGAUGAAGGUCUUCAUUCUCUGAGGCCUUUCCUUCCCUGAGGAGAGGGUUCGCUUCCUGGGAAACCGUAGACGAGGCCGCGUGUGAGAGACAGAGGUCCAAGUUGUGGGGAGGGGUGUGUGUAAAUGCGCGUGUGAGAAAACCCAAGGCGCGGGGCAAGGGUGGGGUAGAGACGGAGGCAGCAGAGAGGAGAAGUGAUGCAAAGAAACCACCUUCCUCAGAGAGUUUUGGGGAGCUCAGUGUCCUGAAGAGAACUUGGAACUGUACCUGACACGGUAAGUGCCAUGUGGACGUUGUUGAUUAUUGCAGAGGUGGAGAGUGUGGUGGACGAGAGAGAGGAAGGGAAGGGGGGGGGUGGUGCGGGCAGGAGCUGGUCCCGGAAGCCCAGCAAUGCAAGGAAAGGUGGAAUCUGGGCGGGGCUCCCUUGUCUGGCCCUUCUCCCAUAAAGCUGACUCUGUUCCUCUUCCUCCCUCAUUGUAUUUUUAAAUCUAAAUAGCGCAGCCUCCAUUGUGUGAAGGAACACGAUUUUCUGGAUUCCCUGAAGCGCCUCAGCACACUGUACGUUGAGAGUCUGCCUGGCAACAGCCAUCUAGGUCCCAGGGAUGGUGACGGAGGGGCCUGGUGGCCACAUACCGCCUCAGCCCUGAUAGUAAAGAUUCCGCGGUGCGCCCGAGCCUUCCUGCCUGCCCUCCUACCCCUGUAAGCCCUCUGGGUCUCCUCCCAUCUUUGGCCGGAGGGAACCCCUUCCCAGAUUGUGUCGGAUUGAGGGUGAAGCCCACACAGCCCAGGGCUCCCUGGACGAGAUGGGUCCUGGCCCUUCCAGGCCCUGACGACGCUGUGCGGCUGGAGCUCCGUCCCCCACCUGUGCCUUGAGGCCCUGCCCCACUUUGUGAUGGCUCUGAAGGGUCAAGGGCGGGACCCGGGUCCACAGUGAUUUUCAGUCUGGGCCAUCACAGGGGGCCCUUUUGGGUUAACGUUUAAAAAAUGUGCUCUCCUCUCUCCGUGGAGGCUGAGAAGCGUCCCAAGGAGGGUUUCUACCCCAGCGGGGCCGGCUCCUGCGCUGGCGGCCUGGAAAACACUGCUGUCCCUGGCAUCGUCCUGGUGCCCGGAGCUGGUGGUGGCUGCAGGAACAGAACCUCAGCCCCAAGCAAAGGGCGGAUCACCAGGCCCAGUGACCGUCUGCGUCAGCCCCAUACCCUCUCAGGCUGCGGGAGAUCAUCCAGAAGCUUUCGGGCCUCUCAGCCCUGUGAUGUGAGAGGGCAGGACAUCUUCAAACGUAUGGCUGAGGACAUCAAGGUCCAGAGAAAAGAGUGAUGGGCAGAAGCCAGGGCGAGAAGCCAAUGGCCUGAUUUCUGGUCCUGGGCCAUUUCUACAAUUCAGUUCUGCCUCCCCCCACCACUCCGGUCUUGCUGAAAGGAUGUAUUCACCAAGAGGCUACUACUUACUGACUCAUUCAUUCAUUCCUUUCAUGAACCAUUAUGGAGCUCCAGGCACUGUUGUAUGUCUGGAAUACACAGCAGUGAAAAUCAAAGUGAAACAAAACCCAAACCAGCCCUUUCUGUUCAUGAUUAGGCCCUGUUAAGGGCAGUGCCGUGAUAAAGAGCUCAGAGGCUGGGGCCCGACUGCCUGGGUCUGAGUCCCAGCUCCCCUGGUCACCAGCAGUAGCCUCUCUGGCAAGUUUUUCAAACCUUCUGCGUCUCAGUGUCUUCAUCGGUAAGUCAAGGAUAAUUAUAGUACCUCCCUGAGGGCUGUUUAGUGCGGUGGACACGAGGGUACAAGUGUAUUCUCACGAGUACCUGAGUCGUCUCUGGCAUACAGCAAGCCCUCCAGAAAAGCUACUGGUGGGUCCAACCGAUCUUAUGGGGGGGCU